rnacentral:lncRNA from 1 species
GAUCCAACAUUCGUUGAAAUAUAGCUUCAAUGCCACUCUUAUCGAUGCUUCAUUCUUUCUUUUCUUAAUCAUAAGACCUAUGAAACUCAUCAGAAGAACUAGAAUUUGGGUAAGCACAAUAGGGGGAAGGACCAUCUGGGCAAUCACUAUAAUGUCCUUCUUGACCACACCAUAAAGAACAAUUAUACUCCUAGUAGGAUGGAGAUGGUGCACACAUCUCUCUUUGGGGAGCAUAUCUACAAUCUUGC